AACGAACGCUGGCGGCAGGCUUAACACAUGCAAGUCGAACGCACCGCAAGGUGAGUGGCAGACGGGUGAGUAACACGUGGGGAUCUGCCCAAUGGUACGGAAUAGCUCCGGGAAACUGGAAUUAAUACCGUAUGAGCCCGCAAGGGGAAAGAGUUAUCGCAAUUGGAUGAACCCGCGUCGGAUUAGCUAGUUGGUUUGGUAAAGGCGCACCAAGGGGACGAUCCGUAGCUGGUCUGAGAGGAUGAUCAGCCACACUGGGACUGAGACACGGCCCAGACUCCUACGGGAGGCAGCAGUGGGGAAUAUUGGACAAUGGGCGCAAGCCUGAUCCAGCCAUGCCGCGUGAGUGAUGAAGGCCUUAGGGUUGUAAAGCUCUUUCGCCGACGAAGAUAAUGACGGUAGUCGGAGAAGAAGCCCCGGCUAACUUCGUGCCAGCAGCCGCAGUAAAAC
rnacentral:rRNA from 1 species